rnacentral:rRNA from 1 species
AGGAAUAUUGGUCAAUGGGCGGGAGCCUGAACCAGCCAAGUCGCGUGAGGGACGACGGUCCUAUGGAUUGUAAACCUCUUUUGUCGGGGAACAAAGGCGCCCACGGGUGGGCGGAUGAGUGUACCCGAAGAAAAAGCAUCGGCUAACUCCGUGCCAGCAGCCGCGGUAAUACGGAGGAUGCGAGCGUUAUCCGGAUUUAUUGGGUUUAAAGGGUGCGUAGGCGGACGGUCAAGUCAGCGGUAAAAAUGCGGUGCUCAACGCCGUACAGCCGUUGAAACUGGCAGUCUUGAGUGGGCGAGAAGUAUGCGGAAUGCGUGGUGUAGCGGUGAAAUGCAUAGAUAUCACGCAGAACUCCGAUUGCGAAGGCAGCAUACCGGCGCCCUACUGACGCUGAGGCACGAAAGCGUGGGUAUCGAACA